GUAAUUGGACUACAGGUGCGUGCCACCAUGCCUGGAUAAUUUUAAAAUUUUUUAUAAAGACAAGGUUUUGCCAUGUUGCCCAGGCUGUUCUCAAACUCUUGGGCUCAAGCAAUCCACCUGCCUCAGCCUCCCAAAGUGCUGGGAUUACAAGUGUGAGCCACCUCGCCCAGCCAGGAUUUACAUAAAGUAUUUUAAAAGUCAUAUUGGGGCAGACGUAGGGUGAGGAGCCGCCGAGGCCGAGGCCCAUGACUCCAUGGAGGGCCAGAAGAGAGCAGAAAAACGUCCAGGGUCUCUCAUGCAUUCCUAUAGACACCAGAAAGGGUGGAAUAAGAAAGCUCAGCUGGGAGGACAAGAAAGAGACUCAAGAGAUCGUUUAUGACUGUUUCUGAGAAAGCUCCUGGCAUGGCCAUGAGUGGCCUUCCGGGAGUCCUGUAAAAAGGAAAGCACAGAAAACAGGAAAGAACUCUCCCUACACGUCCCUCUCUGCCUGUUUGUGUCCUCGGGAGACUCCAAGCGGUGGUAAAGCACCAACAGGGCUCUUCUUGGAGCAAGAGAAAGAAAAGACUCCGGGGUGAGUAAGCUCUCCCAGGAACCCCACAGCAAACCGUGACCUUGAACACAGAUGGCAAGGUCAAGUCAUUUACAAGUCCACAUUCAAAUCCAAAUCUCCCACCUGCAAAAU
rnacentral:lncRNA from 10 species